GGUCAGUUUCUCCCUAUGGAACUACUGGGCUUUUAGAAUGAUAGGAAGCCUGGCCUGUCCCUUUACAGGUGCGUUAUAGUCAGGCAAAGUUGGGCUGCAAGACCCUGGGCAGGGUGGGCGGCUCUCACCUGUGGAGAUGCAGCACUGAGGGUCCCCUCCAGCGUGGUUGCUAACACAGACUGCCUAGGAGCGUGCUUUUCUCAUCCUGGACCCCAGCUGCUGCUUAAUGUGCAGGCGGUGGUGGUGCCUCAAGGUGGCGGACAGCUGUGGGUCUUUGGAGGGGAGUUUGCCUCUCCCAACGGAGAGCAGUUCUACCACUACAAGGAUCUCUGGGUCCUGCAUUUGGCCACCAAGACCUGGGAACAAGUCAAAUCAACAGGCGGUCCUUCGGGUCGGAGUGGACAUCGGAUGGUGGCCUGGAAGAGACAAUUGAUCCUUUUUGGUGGCUUCCAUGAAAGUACACGGGAUUACAUCUACUACAACGACGUGUAUGCCUUUAAUCUGGACACCUUCACAUGGAGCACGCUGUCCCCGUCAGGGACGGGGCCCACACCCAGAUCAGGCUGCCAGAUGUCCGUCACUCCCCAGGGCGGCAUCGUCGUCUAUGGGGGCUACUCGAAACAGAGAGUUAAGAAAGACGUAGACAAGGGCACACGGCACUCAGACAUGUUCCUGCUGAAGCCGGAGGACGGAAGAGAAGACAAGUGGGUUUGGACUCGGAUGAACCCUUCGGGGGUCAAGCCCACCCCACGGUCUGGCUUUUCCGUGGCCAUGGCCCCGAAUCACCAGACACUGUUCUUCGGGGGUGUCUGUGACGAGGAAGAGGAGGAGAGCCUGUCGGGCGAGUUCUUCAACGAUCUGUACUUCUACGACGCCACCAGGAACCGUUGGUUUGAGGGACAGCUGAAGAAACUCAGGAGUGGCUGGAGGAGACGGACUCGGAAGAGGACAGUGAGGAGGUUGAGGGCGCCGAGGGUGGGGUUGACGACCACGACAGCGGAGAGGAGAGCGGCGCGGGGGACUGAGAGCCCCUGCCAGGGGCGCCUGGCAAGUGCUGUGCCCACGUCCGCCCAGGACCCAGCCGUGUUGAGUGAAGCUCUUGGGGCCAGCGUGCGCCCUGACGCACAGGAGAGAGCUGAAGGUGGGUGGCCCAGGCCAGGGUGUGAACUUUCUCCCAUGGUUUAGUCUCUGACGCGGCGCUGGGCCGGAAGUUCAACUGAGUGCAGUGCAGGUGGAUUCCCUCAGCAGCCUGUGUGUUGUGUGAAAUAAAUUGGACUUGAAACAAGA
rnacentral:sRNA from 1 species